GGAUAGCUCAGUAGGUAGAGCAUGAGACUCUCAAUUCUAGGGUUGUGGGUUCAACCCCCACGUUGGGCA